CAAAUCAUGAGCUCAUUCAGAUUCUUUUCCCUAGUUCAUGCGCUCACCCACCCCCGAUCCACACGUACUCCAAUAUGGCUCAGAUGUCCUGGUCUUCCACCCAAACCCCCAUGUCAGUGCGGUCUCAAAUGCUUAUCCUCAAGGAAGGAGCCUGGCCCCGGCUCACUGAGAGAAAGGGCUGUGGAACUGCACAGAGAAAUCCUCCCACAACAGCGUGCCCCCGCUCUAAGUGUCACCGGGAAGUCACAUCAAAUGCUCUGAAGGUGCUGAAUAUAUUUUUCCAAUUGCUUUUUAGCUUUGUAAUUACAAGGAUCUAAAAACCUUGAUUUGCCUUUUCAAUAACUUACGGCGAAAACGCGACGCCGGCACGAGCAAAGCAAUUUCCACUCUGCCUGUGGGACGGACUGGACGGCGAAGGAGCAGAAGGCUAGGGAGGCGAUAUUUCUUUUUCUCUCUCCUCCAGUGUUCUGGUUUGUCACUCAUUUUCAUUUCCUGUUUUUAAAUGCUAGCUAGUGAGCCUCCAAUUCCACAUGCGAGGAUUGUUUUCCGAUUUCAAAGCCCAGCGAGGCCACAUUCAAAUAGGAACGGGGACUUAUUUCGGUUAAACUCUGGAAAGCAUGGAAAUGAAGAGAUUUUUGUUUCCCUCAUUGCAUGUCUGUUAUUCAUCAUUCUCUGCUAUUUCCGUGAAUUUUAAGGACAAGGCAAUGCGUUGGUUCGGUCUUUCACCAUUACUCAAAUGCCAUUCAGGGGCUUUAAUUCUGUUUCUUUUCUGAUCCUCUUUGUGUAGGAUUUGUUUUCCUGCUGUUAUUUUUUUGCUCGGUUGUUUCCUUUUUUUUUUCCCCCAAUUUAAUCUACCUUACUUUUUUUUAUUAUUGUUCUUUUUCCUAAAUACACAAUUACCCAAUGUUUGGAUUCCUCUAAAAAUCACUCACACCCCUCAAUAACUGCUGAGUCUCCUGAUAGUUGACUUGAAGAGACAGCACAUCAGCUGAAUUUUCAGUCUUGAAAUCCACGUGACUGAUAGUUAAUAAGGGAGCCUCCCGGAUCUGCCGGGAGCGAAAAACCAUCGGGUCUGUCCCCAGAUUUUCCCACCCAGAGUUGUCCCACUUGACUAUCUUAAGGCUCUCUAGAGGGCAAUUCAAAAGCUCGGGAGACUUUUCUUGUGAGUCCCAAGUGGGGCUUUGAGUUCAACCCAACCCAACUUAAGCCACAAAGUCCCUCAGUCUCCGGUAGCUGGGGGUUUC
rnacentral:lncRNA from 1 species